GAGAUAUGUGCCGUUUCGUACGCCAAUUUGAACUAUAAAAGAUUGAUGAUCUAAGUAUAGGACCAAGAAAAAAACCGGUCAAAAAUGAAGACUCGAAACAAUUACGAAUGGAUAGGCGAUUUUUGUAAUUUAAAAUAUUGUGUCGCAAGAAAUCUAGAUUAGUCCAGCCGAAUAUAAUCUAUGUACAUAAUGCGUUGCGACGUUUGUCUUCGGCCAAUUUGCGCAAGAGGAAUGGUUCUUGUUUUCUACGAUUCUACAAAUAACAACUCUAUCGACUGAUACGCAAACAAUUUUUAUCAAUAAAGUCAAUACUUCCAUCGUGUAAACAGCGAGUCGAGUCACAGAAGAUCUAGAAUCGUUCAGUUGGUGUAAAUCCACGUACGUGGUGUAUAGCGCGCAGUCUUUGAUCGAUUCGCGCGAGAAGCAUCGUUUUGGAAUGGGAUCGGUUAAUAAACGAGCACGGCUUCAAAGAAAAGAGGACUGAGAUCGGUUGAAAUUGCAACUAUUCGACCUUAUAAUUAAGGGACAAGAAGGAAAGCUUCGACUGACAUAGCGAAGUUCGCCAAAGAGAAGGCAAGCAGAGGGAGUACUGAUUAGAAAAAUGCUCGUCGACGGUUUGUCGCUACUGUCACCAAAAACAAUACUUGUGAAGGUUAAGCACUGCUUUUAGUGUACCCGAUGUCAGCUGUACAUCAUGUAACAAUCGAAGAAACUGUUGGACGUCGUUAUGGCAGAUAUCUAUAUGGAUACAACAUUCACUUCUAUAACAAAGUUAGCAAAAAUUUGAGUCGUACCGAAGGAGCGAGCCAGUUUUCACAAAACACCAAUUGCAAUCAGACGAACGCAACGACGCAUUAUGUACGUGAAUUUUUUUGGCUGAACUGAUCCAGAUCUCCUGCGAAAUGUUUUGAAUAGCUGAAAUUCACCAACCCAUUCGUAGUUCCUUCUUUGAAUCUAUUCCAAUGACUCCGGUAUUUUUCUCGAUUUUGUACACGGAUGAAUUAAUUUUUCAUAAUUCAAUUUGAAUUUCGAGCUGCUCGAAUUUUCGAGUAGCUCGAAUAUUCAAACAUACGGACGGCACUCAUCGUGGAAAUAUUUUUGGUCUUCAGACUGCUUUUAGUUUAUUCAUUUGUUUAUUUGUUAUAUUUACUUAUGUGAUUAUUUAUUUGUAUCCUCCUGGCAAGAGAUCGGAAGAUGAAUAUUGUUCAAAUUAAUAAAUAAAUAUGUCUAAAGGAAGUAUCAGUUCUUAUGCUAUUUCACUGCAGCAUUAAGAGAAUAAAAUCCCGUCUCUUAGAAGAUCUCUUGCGACGAGGAACACGAUUUGUCACGACUAGUUUUGGUGCUAUGCAACUCUAGCUUCGAGACAAACAGAAAUACAGACGACGUGGAUAUAUUUUUGCAAUACGCGAGGACUAUUACAAAGAAAUUUUAGCCAUACUAUCAAACUGUCGCAAAAUCCUUCAUCUAUUCUAUCUUAUCGGGGUUAGAAACAUUGUAAAAAUGGGGAAAAUGGUUAUUGUCAGCAUGCAGCAGAUGAAUUUCAAUUUAUUGUUACAGUUAUAGUUAUUGUUAUAUUUUUAUUUAUUAAUUUACUGUUAUUGUUUAUUAUUAUAGUACUGAUAAUUUAUUGUUAUAGUAUUUUUUGAUUAUGAAAAUAUAAUUACUCAAGAAUCAAAUAUGACACGAUUAGAUGUCCUUAAAAUUUUCUAUAUGCUGUACCCCAUUCCCCUUAAAAUGCAUAGAAACAUGAUCUUGAUAAUGGUUUUGCUCUUCUCGUUGACUGUAAUCUGUCUGCAUUAUCGACAAAUCGUUUCACGAGUUUGUGAGUCAUAGAACAAGGCGGAUUAAGAUUAUCCCAUGUUUGCUGUUGUGCCUCGGAAAACGAUUAUAGCAAUGACGCUCGACUUACCUCGAUUAGUAAAAACAAAGUCAUCGUUACAGGCAACCCUCGAUUGUAGACAAAUCGAAAUUAUCCGACUCCCCCCCGACCAGUAUAAAUAUACGGACGAGAUCGCAGGCGAACAAUAUAUACCGAGUAUCUGCGAAUUAUCGAGCAAUAUCUACGAGUUAUUAUCCGAGUCAUUACCGAGUUAUUAGUUACCGAGUUUUCCGCGAGCGAUCAUACGCUAGCUUUGCAAAUACAUUUGUACGAGCGUCUCUCGACGAUAUUUAUAUUUAUUCUUAUUUAUUCUAUUUAUUCUAAAUAUAUUUGACGGAUUGCAGCAGCAAUUUCUCGCAUUCUAAAUUAUUGACCAUCUACCGGUCCACUACAUUCUCCACUACAUAAUU